rnacentral:rRNA from 1 species
GACGAACGCUGGCGGCGUGCCUAAUACAUGCAAGUCGAGCGAAGUUUUUCUGGUGCUUGCACUAGAAAAACUUAGCGGCGAACGGGUGAGUAACACGUAAAGAACCUGCCUCAUAGACUGGGACAACUAUUGGAAACGAUAGCUAAUACCGGAUAACAGCAUUAACUGCAUGGUUGAUGUUUAAAAGUUGGUUUUGCUAACACUAUGAGAUGGCUUUGCGGUGCAUUAGCUAGUUGGUGGGGUAAAGGCCUACCAAGGCGACGAUGCAUAGCCGACCUGAGAGGGUGAUCGGCCACACUGGGACUGAGACACGGCCCAGACUCCUACGGGAGGCAGCAGUAGGGAAUCUUCCGCAAUGGGCGAAAGCCUGACGGAGCAACGCCGCGUGAGUGAAGAAGGAUUUCGGUUCGUAAAGCUCUGUUGUUAGGGAAGAAUGAUUGUGUAGUAACUAUACACAGUAGAGACGGUACCUAACCA